AGCCUUCCGCCUUGCAUUCAUCAGAGCAAAUCGCAAUUCCCGUGCGUUCUGGCAGCCUGUCGUCUCGAAGCCCGUUAUUUCUGGCGCAAUUAGUUCAUUCAGUUUACGUUAUAACUUUAUAUUGUUUGAUUUCGGCUUUCUGUUCAUUCUUGAUGAGUGGUAAAAGGUAAGUUUCAGUACGUCACUAUUCUAUGCUAAUAUUCUGAAUUGCGUUGCAAUUUCACCGUAGCUUUGAACCUGAUUAAAAUAUAUUUCAUGUUUAUUCUAUUUUCCUUAGACUUUGAAAAUGGCAUCAAAACCAUGACUGCUCUUUACUUUCUGAUUGCCUUGGCCGUGGCAGCAAGUAUUUUAGUCCAGGAAGGUGAAAUCGACAAUUCGAAUGCGUUGAAUGAAGAGGAAAAUCAGAAACUCAAAUCUAGUCGCCCCCAUGGUAGGGCACCGAGACAAAAAUAGUUUUGUGUUGACAACAGGUUAGUCAAUUCACUGGAAAAUUUGAUCGUUUGAUAUAAUGCAUUGAAGAGUUCAUUCUUGUACCUGUGCUUCAUAUGUAGAGAAAAACAUGCAAAGGAAACCAUUGUAUACAUUAAUAGAAAUCAAUGAUCUAAACAGUAUGUUCCGAUUGCAAAUUGUCAAAUUUUUAAUCAGCUGCUUUAUUCUCUGACACAUUGUGCAGAAAACGGUCUCAUUAAAUGGAAUGACGUAA